CUUGAACGCUGGCGGCAUGCUUUACACAUGCAAGUCGAACGGUAACAGGCCGCAAGGUGCUGACGAGUGGCGAACGGGUGAGUAAUGCAUCGGAACGUGCCCAGUCGUGGGGGAUAACGCAGCGAAAGCUGCGCUAAUACCGCAUACGAUCUAUGGAUGAAAGCGGGGGACCGUAAGGCCUCGCGCGAUUGGAGCGGCCGAUGUCAGAUUAGGUAGUUGGUGGGGUAAAGGCUCACCAAGCCAACGAUCUGUAGCUGGUCUGAGAGGACGACCAGCCACACUGGGACUGAGACACGGCCCAGACUCCUACGGGAUGCAGCAGUGGGGAAUUUUGGACAAUGGGCGCAAGCCUGAUCCAGCAAUGCCGCGUGCAGGAAGAAGGCCUUCGGGUUGUAAACUGCUUUUGUACGGAACGAAAAGGCUCUGGAUAAUACCUGGGGCUCAUGACGGUACCGUAAGAAUAAGCACCGGCUAACUACGUGCCAGCCGCCGCCGUAACAC
rnacentral:rRNA from 1 species